rnacentral:rRNA from 1 species
AUUGAACGCUGGCGGCAGGCCUAACACAUGCCAGUCGAGCGGAUGAAGGGAGCUUGCUCCUGGAUUCAGCGGCGGACGGGUGAGUAAUGCCUAGGAAUCUGCCUGGUAGUGGGGGAUAACGUCCGGAAACGGGCGCUAAUACCGCAUACGUCCUGAGGGAGAAAGUGGGGGAUCUUCGGACCUCACGCUAUCAGAUGAGCCUAGGUCGGAUUAGCUAGUUGGUGGGGUAAAGGCCUACCAAGGCGACGAUCCGUAACUGGUCUGAGAGGAUGAUCAGUCACACUGGAACUGAGACACGGUCCAGACUCCUACGGGAGGCAGCAGUGGGGAAUAUUGGACAAUGGGCGAAAGCCUGAUCCAGCCAUGCCGCGUGUGUGAAGAAGGUCUUCGGAUUGUAAAGCACUUUAAGUGGGGAGGAAGGGCAGUAAGUUAAGACCUUGCUGUUUUGACGUUACCAACAGAAUAAGCACCGGCUAACUUCGUG